rnacentral:rRNA from 1 species
CCUACGGGUGGCAGCAGUGGGGAAUAUUGCACAAUGGGCGCAAGCCUGAUGCAGCCAUGCCGCGUGUGUGAAGAAGGCCUUCGGGUUGUAAAGCACUUUCAGCGGGGAGGAAGGCGGUGAGGUUAAUAACCUCAUCGAUUGACGUUACCCGCAGAAGAAGCACCGGCUAACUCCGUGCCAGCAGCCGCGGUAAUACGGAGGGUGCAAGCGUUAAUCGGAAUCACUGGGCGUAAAGCGCACGCAGGCGGUCUGUCAAGUCGGAUGUGAAAUCCCCGGGCUCAACCUGGGAACUGCAUUCGAAACUGGCGGGCUAGAGUCUUGUAGAGGGGGGUAGAAUUCCAGGUGUAGCGGUGAAAUGCGUAGAGAUCUGGAGGAAUACCGGUGGCGAAGGCGGCCCCCUGGACAAAGACUGACGCUCAGGUGCGAAAGCGUGGGGAGCAAACAGGAUUAGAUACCCGUGUAGUC